UACGGAGGUGGCAAGCGUUGUUCGGAAUUACUGGGCGUAAAGGGCGCGUAGGCGGUUGGGCAAGUCAGAUGUGAAAGCCCCGAGCUUAACUCGGGAACUGCAUCUGAAACUGCUUUACUUGAGUCCUGGAUGGGGUAGUGGAAUUCCCAGUGUAGCGGUGAAAUGCGUAGAUAUUGGGAGGAACACCUGCGGCGAAGGCGGCUACCUGGACAGUGACUGACGCUGAGGCGCGAAAGCUAGGGGAGCGAACGGG
rnacentral:rRNA from 1 species